rnacentral:rRNA from 1 species
GACGAACGCUGGCGGCGUGCUUAACACAUGCAAGUCGAACGAAGUCGCGAACGGGUGAGACACGCGUAGGUCCCCGCCUGGUAGCGGGGGACAACUUUGUGAAACGAUAGCUAAUACCGCAUACUACCAUAUGGACCCGCGUUGUAUUAUCUAGUUGGUGGGGUAACGGCGCACCAAGGCAACGAUACAUAGCCGACCUGAGGGGGUGAUCGGCCACACUGGGACUGAGACACGGCCCAGACUCCUACGGGAGGCAGCAGUAGGGAAGCUUCGGCAAUGGACGGAAGUCUGACCGAGCAACGCCGCGUGAGUGAAGAAGGUUUUCGGAUCGUAAAGCUCUGUUGUAAGAGAAGCGGUAUCUUACCAGAAAGGGACGGCUAACUACGUGCCAGCAGCCGCGGUAAUUC